rnacentral:rRNA from 1 species
GAUGAACGCUGGCGGCGUGCCUAAUACAUGCAAGUCGAACGCACAGACGAGAAGUUUCCCCUCCUGACGUUUUCCGCGCACGGGUGUGUCACAUAUGUAUCAUCUACCUAUAAGACUGGGAUCACUUCGGGAAACUGGCGCAUAUCGCAUAACAUCUGUUAUACCGCAUUGAUCAAUAAUAAAAGACGGCUUUUCCACUACCUAUAGAUCCUUCCGCGUCGUAUUAGCUAGUUGGUAAGGUAACGGCUUACGAAGGCAACGCUUCGUCGCCGACCUGAGAGGGUGAUCGGCCACCCUGGAACUGAGACACGGUCCAGACUCCUACGGGAGGAGGCAGUAGGGAAUCUUCCGCAAUGGGCGAAAGCCUGACGGGGCAACGCCGCGUGAGUGAUGAAGGUCUUCGGAUCGUAAGACUCUGUUAUAAGGGAAGAACAAAUGUGUAAGUAACUGUGCACGUCUUGACGGUACCUAAUCAGAAAGCCACGGCUAACUACGUG